CGCCAGACUAUCCCGACGGGGAGAAAAGCGGAUACCUUCAUUCGCCUGUCUGGUGACCCAUUUAAUGAAGG
rnacentral:sRNA from 14 species